rnacentral:rRNA from 1 species
UACGUAGGGUGCAAGCGUUAAUCGGAAUUACUGGGCGUAAAGCGUGCGCAGGCGGCGCCGCAAGUCAGGCGUGAAAUCCCCCGAGCUCAAACUUGGGAAUUGCGCUUGAAACUACGGUGCUGGAGUAUGGCAGAGGGAGGUGGAAUUCCACGUGUAGCGGUGAAAAUGCGUAGAGAUGUGGAGGAACACCGAUGGCGAAGGCAGCCCUCCUGGGCCAAUACUGACGCUCAUGCACGAAAGCGUGGGGGAGCAAACAGG